AGUUUGAUUCUGGCUCAAUGAACGCUGGCGGAUGCUUUACACAUGCAAGUCGAACGGCAGCACGGACUUCGGUCUGGUGGCGUUAGUGCGAACGGUACAGCAAUGUAUCGGAACGUGCCUAGUAGCGGGGAUAAUCACGCGAAAGCGAAGCACACCGCAUACGCCCUUCGGGGAAAGCGGGGACCUUCGGCCUCGCACUAUUAGAGCGGCCGGAUAUCGGAUUAGCGCAGUUGGUGGGUAACGGCUCACCAAGGCGACGAUCCGUAGCUGGUUUGAGAGGACGAACCAGCCACACUGGGACUGGAGAUAUCGUACCAGACUCCUACGGGAGGCAGCAGUGGGGAAUUUUGACAAUGGGGAAACUCCUGAUCCAGCCAUCCCCGCGUGUGCGAUGAGGGCCUUCGGGUUGUAAAGCACUUUUGGCAGGAAGAAACGUGGGCACGGGAUACCCCGUGCAACCGACGGUACCUGCAGUAAUACACCGGCUAACUACGUGCCAGCAGCUGCGGUAAUACGUAGGGUGUUAAUCGGAAUUACUGGUGGAAGUGCGCAGGCGGUUUUCCGGAAAGAAAGAUGUGAAAUCCUGUGAGCAACUUUGAACUGCAUUUUUAACUGAGUGAUGCGUCAGAGGGAGGUGAAUUUAUGUGUAGCAGUGAAAUGCGUAGAUAUGCGUGGGAGAACACCGAUGGCGAAGGCAGCCUCCUGAGUAACACUGAUUGCUCAUGCACGAAAGUUGGGGAGCAAACAGGAUUAGAUACCCUGGUAGUUCCACGCCCUAAACGAUGUCAAACUAGCUGUUGGGGCCUUCGGGCCUCGGUAGCGCAGCUAACGCGUGAAGUUGACCGCCCGGGGAGUACGGUCGCAAGAUUUAAACUCAGCGAAAUCGAUGACCCGCACAAGCGGUGGAUAUGGAUGACCGAUGCAACGCGAAAACUUUACCUACCCUUGACAUGUCUGGAAUCCCGAAGAGAUUUGGGAGUGCUCGCAAGAGAACCGGAACACAGGUGCUGCAUGGCUGUCGUCAGUCAACGUGAGAUGUUGCUGUCCGCAACGAGCGCAACUCGACACAAUACAUGAAAGGCACUCUAAUGACCGGUGACAAAACCGAGGAAGGUGAUGGCGUCGUUCUCGCGGUUCUUGCGUGGGUGGGGCCUACAUCGUCAUACAAUGGUCGGGACAGAGGGUCGCCAACCCGCGAGGGGGAGCCAAUCCCAGAAACCCGGAUCGGGACCGACGCAGUCUGCAACUCGACUGCGUGAAGUCGGAAUCGCUAAUCGUGGAUCAGCAUGUCGCGGUGAAUACGUUCCCGUGGGUCUUGUACACACCGCCCGGUUUAUCACAGGGGAGUGGGUUUUACCAGAAGUAGUUAGCCUAACCGUAAGGAGGGCGAUUACCACGGUAGGAUUCAUGACUGGGGUGAAGUCGUAACAAGGUAA
rnacentral:rRNA from 1 species